rnacentral:pre_miRNA from 2 species
AAGCUCUUGUUGGAGAAGCAGGGCACGUGCAAUUCUCUUGGCUUUUGUUUUCUCAUAUCAUAUGCCAUUGAAUUCUUUGCACGUGCUCCCCUUCUCCAACAUGGGUUU